UGGAUGCCGAGCGGCUCCUCGGAAGUCGGCUUCUUCCGUUUCCAUGUCCGGAUCCCUCCAGGAGGAGCAGAACAACAUGCUGGGCUCUGGGUUCAAAGCUGAGCGCUUACGAGUCAAUUUGAGAUUAGUUAUAAAUCAUCUUAAACUGUUGGAGAAAAAAAUAAAACGGAACUGGCUCAGAAGGCAAGGAAGGAGAUUGCUGACUACCUGGCUGCCGGAAAGGACAAGCAAGCGCGCAUCCCUGUGGAGCACAUAAUCCGGGAGGACUACCUGGUGGAGGCCAUGGAGAUCCUGGAGCUGUACUGUGACCUGCUGCUGGCACGCUUUGGUCUUAUCCAGUCUAUGAAGGAGCUAGAUUCUGGUCUAGCUGAAUCUGUGUCUACACUGAUCUGGGCUGCGCCUCGGCUUCAGUCAGAAGUGGCUGAGUUGAAAAUAGUUGCUGAUCAGCUCUGUGCCAAAUACAGCAAGGAAUAUGGCAAAUUAUGCAGGACCAACCAGAUCGGGACUGUGAAUGAUAGGCUAAUGCACAAACUGAGCGUAGAAGCCCCACCCAAAAUCCUAGUCGAGAGAUACCUGAUUGAAAUUGCCAAGAAUUACAAUGUUCCCUAUGAACCUGACUCUGUGGUCAUGGCAGAAGCUCCUGUUGGGGUGGAGACAGAUCUUAUUGAUGUUGGAUUUACAGACGACGUGAAGAAAGGUGGUCCUGGAAGAGGAGGAGGGGGCGGGUUCACAGUCCCCAUUGGGGGACCUGAUGGGAUUGUGCCCAUGCCCAUGCCUAUGCCCAUGCCAUCUCCAAAUGCUCCCUUCGCGUACCCACUGCCAAAGGGACCAUCGGAUUUCAGUGGAUUGCCAGUGGGGACUUACCAGGCCUUUCCUAACAUUCACCCACCUCAGACACCAGCAACUCCUCCAUCCUAUGAAUCUAUUGUUGGACCCAAGCCAGAAGCUCCUGCAAAGCCCCCUUCCAGACCCGUGGAUAAUUACAACACCUUUGUACUGCCAGAGUUGCCAUCGGUGCCAGACACACUCCCAACUGCAUCUGCUGGAGCCAGUACCUCAGCAUCAGAAGACAUAGACUUUGAUGAUCUUUCCCGGAGAUUUGAGGAACUGAAAAAGAAAACAUAGGUCUCUUAAACCAGGNAGCAUCCACAUUCUGGAAGUUGAUACUGAACAGUUCUCCUUGUAACAGUGAAUCUCCAUGAAAUUCCGUUUCCUCUGUUAACCAUCACUGAGCACUCUUCCUUGGGGCUCUCUGCUGCUCUACCAAUUGUGUUGCUUUCCACUUCUUCAGUGAUCCUGAGAGACUCUGACUGGAGCAGUUGGCUCCUAUUGGCUGUGUUUACCUGUCUGUCUUCCUGUCACAUGGAUCCUUGGUUCUUUCACGGCCAUUCCAUUCCCAGGGAGUGAGAAGUAUUGUGGGUAGAGUUGCCAAAGAUGGCUGGACCAUGGAAGAGAGUACCCUAUGAUGAGUUUCAACCUUGNCUUGUAAAUACUUCCCUCUGCAUGGGGGUGAUCGUAGAGAGAAUCAAGGCUACCAUGUGUUUUCUCACAUGACUUAGAAGACGGCUCAGGAAGCCACUGUCACGGAUNCUGGAGGCUGGGCCCUCUCAUUGACAUGUACACUACUCNUCGNUGCAGGGCACUGUUCCACCUGGAUCCAGUUGCAAAGUUUGAUUGGAAAAGUUCUCUUAGUUUCACUGGGUUCUCAGGGAGCCCUCUGUGGCCUUUUCCUUUAUUUUGAGUGCUGUUUCCUUUUUAGGAAAGGAUAGCACUGUGGAAAUUUGCUUUUCCCCAUAGCAUGUUAGGAAGGAAG